UACGGGGGGGGCAAGCGUUGUUCGGAAUUACUGGGCGUAAAGGGUUCGUAGGUGGCUGGCUAAGCCAGACGUGAAAUCCCUCAGCUUAACUGGGGAACUGCGUCUGGGACUGGUCGGCUUGAGUGCAGGAGAGGAACGCGGAAUUCCAGGUGUUGCGGUGAAAUGCGUAGAUAUCUGGAGGAACACCGGUGGCGAAGGCGGCGUUCUGGACUGCAACUGACACUGAGGAACGAAAGCCAGGGGAGCAAACGGG
rnacentral:rRNA from 1 species